rfam:Trichodesmium erythraeum IMS101, complete genome.
AGGAGCCGGAUGAGGUGAAAGUCUCACGUCCGGUUUUGAAGACGAGUCGGGUAGGGUAACUUACUUGGCUUAGUUUAAC